rnacentral:rRNA from 1 species
UGGGAACCUUCCCUAUGGUUCGGAAUAGCCCAGGGAAACUUGGGGUAAUACCGAAUAAGCCCUUCGGGGGAAAGAUUUAUUGCCAUUGGAUGGGCCCGCGUCGGAUUAGCUAGUUGGUGGGGUAACGGCCCACCAAGGCGACGAUCCGUAGCUGGUCUGAGAGGAUGAUCAGCCACACUGGGACUGAGACACGGCCCAGACUCCUACGGGAGGCAG